UACAGAGGUGGCAAGCGUUGUUCGGAAUUACUGGGCGUAAAGGGCGCGUAGGCGGCCUUGUAAGUCCUGUGUGAAAUCCCCCGGCUCAACUGGGGAACUGCACAGGAGACUGCUUGGCUUGAGUUCGGGAGAGGGAAGCGGAAUUCCGGGUGUAGCGGUGAAAUGCGUAGAUAUCCGGAGGAACACCGGUGGCGAAGGCGGCUUCCUGGACCGACACUGACGCUGAGGCGCGAAAGCCAGGGAGCAAACGGG
rnacentral:rRNA from 1 species